rnacentral:tRNA from 1 species
GUCAGGAUGGCCGAGCGGUCUAAGGCGCUGCAUUCAGGUUGCAGUCUCUGUGGGAGGCGUGGGUUCGAAUCCCACUCCUGACA